rnacentral:misc_RNA from 1 species
AAGUCGUAACAAGGUUUCCGUAGGUGAACCUGCGGAAGGAUCAUUAUUGAAUGAACUUGGUCGGGCUGAUGCUGGUCUCUCCUUGGAGGGGCAUGUGCACGCCUGGCACCAUCUUCUUUUACCACCUGUGCACCUUUUGUAGACUGUGGGGACUACCUUUCCGAGGUCAAACUCGGUUGAAAGGAUUGCUGAUGCCAGCUUUCCUUUGCCUGUCUUCUUGUCUAUGCCUUUUUUUUUUUAUCACAAAUGUAUGACAAUGAAUGUUAUGUUGGGCAUUAUUGCCUUUAAAAACCUAAUACAACUUUCAACAACGGAUCUCUUGGCUCUCGCAUCGAUGAAGAACGCAGCGAAAUGCGAUAAGUAAUGUGAAUUGCAGAAUUCAGUGAAUCAUCGAAUCUUUGAACGCACCUUGCGCUCCUUGGUAUUCCGAGGAGCAUGCCUGUUUGAGUAUCAUGAAAUUCUCAACCUUGCUUUUGCAUCUGUGAAAUCAAGGUUGGAUUGUGGGGGACUUUUUUGCAGGCUUCAAAUCGAAGUCUGCUCUCCUGAAAUAUAUUAGCAGAGUUGCAUGAACAGCUUUUUAUUGGUGUGAUAAUCAUCUAUGCCAUGGGCUGUGAAAGCGAGUUUGCCUUCCAAUUUUAACAUCCGUUAUUCAUGACUUUUUGAUCUCAAAUCAGGUAGGACUACCCGCUGAACUUAAGCAUAUCAAUAAGCGGAGGAAAAGAAACUAACAAGGAUUCCCCUAGUAACUGCGAGUGAAGCGGGAAGAGCUCAAAUUUAAAAUCUGGCAAUCCUUGUGGUUGUCCGAGUCGUAAUCUAGAGAA